GUUGAUGGAUUACUAAAAAAACAUUUUUUAAAAAUUAUUUAGUGCUGAAUAAUUACAUAAUUUUCGUUAAAGUAUUUUAACCAGGCUUUAUCGUAUUAAUUAUAUUAAUCUUAAAUUCUAGCUAAGGUGUGUAAAUGAGGUCUUUGAUUCGGUAAACUGUGGUGAAAAACGUGGUACAGCAUGUCCGCAUCUUCGGUGGAAGAACCGGGUGUCCAACAAUUUAGCACCUGCACUGGCUUAGUAAUGUUGUGGAAGAAUAGAAGAAAAUGCUCCGGAUAGAAAGGCACAAAGGCAUUUUGUAUUACUUAUUGGCAACAGCUAGCAAAUGAUCGGUCUGACUGGCGGAGGUUACUGAAAGCAGCCAAGUAUGACUUAUGUCUGUAACGACCAUCUAAUUAGAAGAAAAACACUUGACAACGUUCCGUGAGUGGUUCAGUUUGAUAUGCUGUGGUUAUGUGGAUUUUUUGCAAUUUCGUAUUGUUGAUUUUGAG